rnacentral:misc_RNA from 1 species
AACGCAUAUUGCACUCUCUGGUAAUCCGGAGAGUAUGCCUGUUUGAGGGUCAGUAAAUAAUAAUUAUCAUGAAUCUUUGAUUUAUGGAAUUGGGCUUUUAUUUCGAUAGAUUUAUGGCCUUAAAUUUACGUUAUGAGCUUGUCAUAAAAUCCGAUCUAAAGGAGCAAUUAAACAUUCUCUCAUUAGUGGAUUUUUACAAGCCAUUACGAUUUUUGGUUGCUUUUCAGCACUUUUGCGAGCGCGAAACCAAGAUCGUAAGCUUACUCUAACAAUGACCUCAAAUCAGGCAAGAAUACCCGCUGAACUUAA